UGCCGUUAUCGACCUAAUAUGAGCGACAGGCAACACUCCAGACCAGCUGGUGGCGCUAAAGUACCAUGACCCUAUUAGCCAAACAAAGAAGAAGAACAGCACGAGGCGCUAGCAGCGUUAGCUUGUUAGCAGGCUAGCAGCGUUAGCUUGUGUUGAGAGGACGGUGGUGUUUUGUUGGGACGUUUGUGAGGUUUUUGGACAGAAAGGACGAUACGUGCAGAUGAUCGAUCGGAGCUGCAGUGAAGAGGACGGCGGUGUUUGUGGGAGUUGGAGCUGAAGAUCGGAGCAGGAACCAUGUCUUCAGAACCUCAGGAAGGUUCUGUCAGAGAACAACUUUCUGCUGCUGAAGGAACCAUCGUCCAGAACGAGGAGGAGCUCUGUCGUCAGCGCAGACUGCUGGAUAGCAGCUGGAACCCGCAGCUUCAACUCAACAUAGUCGG